UCCCUGGUGGUCCAGUGGUUAAGAAUCUGCCUGCCAAGGCAGGGGAUACAGGUUGGAUUCCUGAUCAGGGAA
rnacentral:tRNA from 1 species